UACGAACUGCGCGAACGUUAUUCGGAAUCACUGGGCUUACAGGGUGCGUAGGCGGCCAUUCAGGUCCGAUGUGAAAUCCCCCAGCUCAACUGGGGAAUGGCAUUGGAAACCGAUUGGCUCGAGUGAGCUAGAGGUGCAUGGAACUUCCGGUGGAGCGGUGAAAUGUGUUGAGAUCGGAAGGAACACCAGAGGCGAAAGCGACUUCCUGGACCAAUACUGACGCUCAUGUGCGAAAGCGUGGGGAGCAAACAGG
rnacentral:rRNA from 1 species